rnacentral:rRNA from 1 species
UACGUAGGGUGCGAGCGUUAAUCGGAAUUACUGGGCGUAAAGCGUGCGCAGGCGGUCUGUUAAGACCGAUGUGAAAUCCCCGGGCUUAACCUGGGAACUGCAUUGGUGACUGGCAGGCUUUGAGUGUGGCAGAGGGAGGUAGAAUUCCACGUGUAGCAGUGAAAUGCGUAGAGAUCAAGAGGAAUACCAGAGGCGAAGGCGGCGAACUGGACAGUUACUGACACUAAACUACGAAAGCGUGGGGAGCAAACAGG